AAUUAGUUCUAGUUCUCUAUUAGAAUGGAGUGGGGAAGAGAAUUCAAAAAUAUAUUCUUGAUGACUUCGAAAUCUUGAAUGUAUUUUAAUACUUCUAUUUCUGAAAAAAAAAUAAAAAAAAUAAAAUUGGUAGUCAUAACAAGAGUUCUAUUAAAAAUUUAUCAUAGAAUGCUUGUAAAACAUGGAAUGAAUGGAUUGACAACAACUAUC
rnacentral:lncRNA from 1 species